rnacentral:rRNA from 1 species
UAUCUCUGUAGAGUCUGCAUAUCAAUAAGCGGAGGAAAAGAAACUAACAAGGAUUCCCCUAGUAACGGCGAGUGAAGCGGGAAGAGCUCAAAUUUGAAAUCUUAAAGGGUUUCCCUUUACGAAUUGUAGUUUAAAGAAGUGUUUUCUGUUGAGGUUUUGGUAAAAGUUCUUUGGAAUAGGACAUCAUAGAGGGUGAGAAUCCCGUAUUUGACCUUUACUUUCAACUUUGUGAUACACUUUCAAAGAGUCGGAUUGUUUGGGAAUGCAGUCCAAAAUGGGUGGUAAAUUUCAUCUAAAGCUAAAUAUUGGCGAGAGACCGAUAGCGAACAAGUACCGUGAGGGAAAGAUGAAAAGAACUUUGAAAAGAGAGUUAAACAGUACGUGAAAUUGUCAAAAGGGAAGCGUUUGACACCAGUGUUGUUUUUCUGAAAAUCAAUUAAAGAACUGUUUAUGCUAAGCUGUUUAGACUUUAUCAGCUAUCUGUUUAGUUUUGAGCUUUUCUUUAAUGCACUUUUCAGUUAACAAGUCAACAUCAAUUUCUUUUGCCUGUAAAAAAGCUUGAGGAAGGUGGCUUGAGAUUCGUCUUAAGUGUUUAUAGCCUCUUGCCUAUGCAGUCGGAGAGAUUGAGGUCUGCAGCGUAGAUCCUUCGGGGUUAAAUGCAUUUGUGCUAAGUUAUAGCCUUUCAUAGACAACUUGUUGACUAUGAUCUGUCUAUGUAGCUUACUCGCUUAUGCUAUUUUACCUACGCUUAGGAUGUUGACGAUCAGCUGAGCGCG